rnacentral:rRNA from 1 species
UGGGGAAUUUUGGACAAUGGGCGAAAGCCUGAUCCAGCAAUGCCGCGUGUGUGAAGAAGGCCUUCGGGUUGUAAAGCACUUUUGUCCGGAAAGAAAUCCUUGGCUCUAAUACAGUCGGGGGGAUGACGGUACCGGAAGAAUAAGCACCGGCUAACUACGUGCCAGCAGCCGCGGUAAUACGUAGGGUGCAAGCGUUAAUCGGAAUUACUGGGCGUAAAGCGUGCGCAGGCGGUUUGCUAAGACCGAUGUGAAAUCCCCGGGCUCAACCUGGGAACUGCAUUGGUGACUGGCAGGCUAGAGUAUGGCAGAGGGGGGUAGAAUUCCACGUGUAGCAGUGAAAUGCGUAGAGAUGUGGAGGAAUACCGAUGGCGAAGGCAGCCCCCUGGGGCCAAAUACUGACGCUCAUGCACGAAAGCGUGGGGAGCAAACAGGAUUAGAUACCCUGGUAGUCCACGCCCUAAACGAUGUCAACUAGUUGUUGGGGAUUCAUUUCCUUAGUAACGUAGCUAACGCGUGAAGUUGACCGCCUGGGGGAGUACGGUCG